GCCCUCGUAGCUUAGUUGGUAGAGCGCUGUGCUUAUAACGCAGAGGUCGUGAGUUCGAGCCUCACCUGGGGCA
rfam:Acanthamoeba castellanii str. Neff unplaced genomic scaffold scf7180000084741, whole genome shotgun sequence.